AUAAGGUCUCUGUGUUAGUGUAGCCCAUAACAUUUACUGGACAGCAGUUUUCAUGAACACACUGAGGAGAGACAUCAAGGAGAGAACUAACCAGAUAUCAAAGAUGCAGUGGAGUCUGUAUCUGCUUAUUCUGAUGGGUCAGUGUUGCUUCUUUACAUGCCA